rnacentral:rRNA from 1 species
AUGUGGACUCGUCUUCGUCAGCGCUAUAAGCCCUCUGGUCAUGCUCUCUACUUGUUUGUGGUCCGUCAGGAGCAUGCUCUUCAGCAGGGAGACUCCACUAUUGAUGAGUUCUACACUCAGAGUUCUGCUAUCUGGCGCCAGCUUGACUCUGUUCGCACUACUGUUUGUGGCACUUGCCCGUGUUGCCAGACUGUGAGGUCAGACUUGGAGUUUCAACGCGUCUAUGAGUUCUUGUCACGGCUUCGUGGUGAGUUUGAGCCUCGACGUGCUCAGUUGUUUGCUCGUGGCCGUGUUUCUAUUUCUGAGGUGCUUUCUGAGCGUCGUGCUGAGGAGACUCGCCUUCCUGGUGUUGGUUUGCUUCAGAUUCCCUCUGUGCUCGGUGCUCGAGCUGCUACUCCACCAGUGUCUUCUCGCUCCAGUGCUCCACCACUACUGCCCACUCCUUCGGGUAGUGAGGCCCGCUCUCGUGAAGGCCGCUCUCGUCCUCGUACUCAUUGUGACUACUGUAACAGGGAUGGUCACCCCGAGUCUGAUUGCUUUAAGAAGAAGCGUGACAUGCGUAAAAGGGAGCGCAAUUCUUCUUCUGGGACUCGUGCUUCUUUCUCGAUGAUGUCUACUGUCUCCUUGACUGAGCAAGAUAUUGUGAAGCUCAAGCGUCUAUUUGCGGCUUCAGGUUCUUCGACGGGUACUGCAGGCUCUGUGACUGGUGCUUCUAGUGCUGAGCGACUACUGUCUACACAGUCAGGAUCGCCACACGAAGGCUCUGGUUGGGGCUGGCCCGCGCCGCCAUGA